rnacentral:misc_RNA from 1 species
GAUGAAGAACGUAGCGAAAUGCGAUAAGUAAUGUGAAUUGCAGAAUUCAGUGAAUCAUCGAAUCUUUGAACGCACAUUGCGCCCGCUAGUAUUCUGGCGGGCAUGCCUGUUCGAGCGUCAUUUCAACCAUCAAGCCCCAGGCUUGUGUUGGGGGCCUGCGGCUGCCGCAGCCCCUGAAAAGCAGUGGCGGGCUCGCUGUCAUUCCGAGCGCAGUAGUUACAUCUCGCUCCGGGCGUGGCGGUGGGCACCUGCCGUGAAACACUCCUUCUAAGGUUGACCUCGGAUCAGGUAGGAAUACCCGCUGAACUUAAGCAUAUCAUAAGCGGAGGA